UGAGGAAUAUUGGACAAUGGAUGGAAAUCUGAUCCAGCCAUGCCGCGUGCAGGAAGAAUGUCCUAUGGAUUGUAAACUGCUUUUGUAUGGGAGCAAUAAGGUCUUCGUGAAGGCCGAUGAGAGUACCAUACGAAUAAGCACCGGCUAACUCCGUGCCAGCAGCCGCGGUAAUACGGAGGGUGCAAGCGUUAUCCGGAUUUAUUGGGUUUAAAGGGUGCGUAGGCGGUUAUAUAAGUCAGCGGUGAAAUUUUUCGGCUCAACCGGAAACAUGCCGUUGAUACUGUAUAGCUUGAAUAUGGUUGCUGUGAGUGGAAUGUGUAGUGUAGCGGUGAAAUGCUUAGAUAUUACACAGAAUAUCGAUUGCGAAGGCAACUCACAAAGCCAUUAUUGACGCUGAGGCACGAAAGUGUGGGGAUCAAACAGG
rnacentral:rRNA from 1 species